UAUGUGUGUCCAGUAUUCCUCAGGAUUGUGAAUGACACUCACUCACCCCUCCUCGCUCCUCAGAGUCCUGGUCGUGGAUCAUUGUUCCUCUCAGUGUCUCGCUGGUUUUGAUCAUUUUUAUUCCGGUCACACUAUUGCUGUUCUACCGAUACAAGACCAAAGAUAACCCCAGUGCUGUAGACAACAGUGACGUUCUUUAUUCAGAGCUCGACAUGAAGAAUUUGAAGAAGAAUGUGAAGAAGGGUAAAACCCUGGCGGAUAACAAACCUGAGGUGUUGUACUCUGAGAUCAACCAUGCAAAGCCCUCAGGCAAACCCACAGCAGAUAAUGCAGAGGCCAUGUAUGCCACAGUGCUCCCAAAGAAGAAAAAUAAGGCAAG